GUGGAGUGAGGGCGGACCGGCCCUGGUGGGGGCCGCAGUCGAGGUCCGCAGUCUCCUCGGGGUCGAAAUCGGGCAUCAGCGCCGUUUAGAGAACACCGUCCUGCUGGGCAUGGCCGGGAUGCGAAGAUGGCCCUGCAACGCACCUCCUAGAAUUUGGUUACCUAGAAAACCAUGUGGAAUAAAACGACGAGGCUUAUGAUAUUUAAAAGACUUCUGCAUCGAAUUGGUGUUAUCAUAAGGGUUAUUUUAAUAACUGGCAUUCUCUAAGUUUCUACACGUGUUGGGGGAUGCAGUGCCGUGCCACAUUUCCCGUCUCCAGCAAGCGCAGUCAGAUUGGCGACAUCGCAGGCAAGAGGCAGGGCUGGGGCUCCCACCCGAGAAGUAAUUGUCUCCAAAGUUGGACUUUUGCCACUGGUUCUGCGACUUCAUGCAAUGCCAGGGAGAGCCCCUUGAUUUCCCCCAAAUCCUCAUCAGCCUCUUUCCACCCAAGCCCAGAUGAACAGUGUUUUACCUGGCAAAGCCACUUAGUUAUUAAGAUGAAUAACCAUAAGUCAUAAACUCAUAGGAAGCUAGGCACCAUUCAUGUACAUGUUUAGUGUACAAUUGGGGGUGGGGAAUGGAAAUGACAGCGAAGGGAAAGGAACAAAAAGGAAGAGAGGAUGAGGCAGAGAGCGGAGAAGAAGGCUCAUCUACUCACCUGAGGAUUAUGAGGAUUAUGAGUUUUAUGGAGCAAAAUUUGCCUAGAACA
rnacentral:lncRNA from 10 species